rnacentral:lncRNA from 1 species
CACACACCACACCACACACACCACACACACCACCACACGCACACCACCACACACCACCACACACACACACCCCACACACACCACACACACCACACCACACACACCACACACACACACCACACACACCACACACACCACACACACCACGCACAUCACACACACCACACACACACACCACACACACAUGUAAUAGAGACACAGUAUAUAGACUACUAUAAUAGACUACUAUAAUAGACUACUAUAAUAGACUACUGUAAUAGACUACUAUAGUAGACACAGUAUAUAGACUACUAUAAUAGACUACUAUAAUAGACUACUGUAAUAGACUACUGUAAUAGACUACUGUAAUAGACUACUAUAGUAGACACAGUAUAUAGACUACUGUAAUAGACUACUAUAAUAGACUACUAUAAUAGACUACUAUAAUAGACACAGUAUAUAGACUACUAUAAUAGACUACUAUAAUAGACUACUGUAGUAGACUACUGUAAUAGACUACUGUAAUAGACUACUGUAAUAGACUACCGUAAUAGACUACCGUAAUAGACUACCGUAAUAGACUACUGUAAUAGACUACUAUAAUAGACUACUGUAAUAGACUACUGUAGUAGACACAGUAUAUAGACUACUGUAAUAGACUACCGUAAUAGACUACUGUAAUAGACUACUAUAAUAGACUACUGUAAUAGACUACUGUAAUAGACUACUGUAAUAGACUACCGUAAUAGACUACUGUAAUAGACUACCAUAAUAGACUACUAUAAUAGACACAGUAUAUAGGCUACUGUAAUAGACUACUUAUAUAGACUACUGUAAUAGACUACCGUAAUAGACUACCGUAAUAGACUACUGUAAUAGACUACUGUAAUAGACUACUGUAAUAGACUACUGUAAUAGACUACUGUAAUAGACACAGUAUAUAGACUACUGUAAUAGACUACUGUAAUAGACUACUGUAAUAGACUACUGUAAUAGACUACUGUAAUAGACUACUGUAAUAGACUACUGUAAUAGACUACCGUAAUAGACUACCGUAAUAGACUACUGUAAUAGAGACCCAUUUUGUAAUGGCUGUGGAAAGGAAAUCUAUGAGGGUUCAGGCGGUUGAUCUUGGGUCAGAGUACCGGGUCAGAAUACCGGGUCAGAGUACCGGGUCAGAGUACCGGGUCAGAAUAAAGCUAGUCCGUUAUGGACUAGUGAACCGGGUCAGAUCAAAGUUAGUCCGUUAUGGACUAGUGAACUUGGGAAGUGUCGCUGGACAGAAUGGAAGUUAAUAAAGCAACUGACUAACCUGACAAUGGAUAACCAGGACACAC